rnacentral:lncRNA from 1 species
CAAGGAGUGUAGCUGUAAAAAAUCAUCAAAAUCGGAGUUAAAAUAACCGUUAAAUCGUGAUUUUUCGUUUAUAACCAUCGAUAAGUUUUGUCCCGUUACUUGAUCUCUUACUGUUUGUUUUUUACAAUUUUUGGCAUAUGCAAUCUCGAAGCAUAUACAAACAAAUUUGACUGUUGGAUCGUUGAAAAUAGUUUCACAAAAUACGUAUCUCAUCAAAACAAUAUAUUCGCUAACACUUAAGAGUUUAUUAAUAUUUUCAUUAAGUAUAACAUAAGAUUUUGUGAUAUCCACUAGUGUAAAUAUUUUAAAUUGAAGAUCGAAUUCAUUCAUUGUAUUCAUAUAGGGUCAAGGAGUGUAGCUGUAAAAAAUUAUCAAAAUCGGAGUUAAAAUAACCGUUAAAUCGUGAUUUUUCGUUUAUAACCGUCGAAAAGUUUUGUCCUGUUACUUGAUCUCUGAAUGUUUGUUUUUUGCAAUUUUUGGCGUAUGCGAUCUCGAAGUAUAUACAAACAUGUUUGACGGUUGGAUCGUUGAAACUAGUUUCGUAGAAUGCGUAUCCUAUCAAAACAAUAGAUUCACUAACACUUAAGAGUUUAUUCAUAUUUUCAUCAAGUAUAACAUAAGAUUUUGUGGUAUCCACUAGUGUAAAUAUUUUAAAUUGAAGAUCGAAUUCAUUCAUUGUAUUCAUAUAGGGUCAAGGAGUGUAGAUGUAAAAAAUCAUCAAAAUCGGAGUUUAAAUAACCGUUAAAUCGUGAUUUUUCGUUUAUAACCGUCGAAAUGUUUUGUCCCGUUACUUGAUCUCUGAAUGUUUGUUUUUUGCAAUUUUUGGCGUAUGCGAUCUCGAAGCAUAUACAAACAAGUUUGACAGUUGGAUCGUUGAAACUAGUUUCGCAAAAUGCGUAUCUCAUCAAAACAAUAAAUUCACUAACACUUAAGAGUUUAUUCAUAUUUUCAUUAAGUAUAACAUAAGAU